rfam:Peptostreptococcaceae bacterium oral taxon 113 str. W5053 genomic scaffold Scaffold322, whole genome shotgun sequence.
UACUUAUUAAGAGAGGUGGAGGGAAUAGGUCCGAUGAAGCCCGGCAACCGAUUGGAUUCGGUGCUACAUCCUACAGGAAAGUCCUGAAAGAUAAGUG